rnacentral:tRNA from 1 species
GGUUAUGGCUCAGUGGUAGAACACUUGCCUCAAAUGCAUGAGGUACUGGGUUCGAUUCUCAGCACCA